rnacentral:rRNA from 1 species
CACUCCUGCGGGAGGCAGCAGUGGGGAAUAUUGGACAAUGGGCGCAAGCCUGAUCCAGCCAUGCCGCGUGAGUGAUGAAGGCCCUCGGGUUGUAAAGCUCUUUUGUGCGGGAAGAUAAUGACGGUACCGCAAGAAUAAGCCCCGGCUAACUUCGUGCCAGCAGCCGCGGUAAUACGAAGGGGGCUAGCGUUGCUCGGAAUCACUGGGCGUAAAGGGUGCGUAGGCGGGUCUUUAAGUCAGGGGUGAAAUCCUGGAGCUCAACUCCAGAACUGCCUUUGAUACUGAAGAUCUUGAGUUCGGGAGAGGUGAGUGGAACUGCGAGUGUAGAGGUGAAAUUCGUAGAUAUUCGGAAGAACACCAGUGGCGAAGGCGGCUCACUGGCCCGAUACUGACGCUGAGGCACGAAAGCGUGGGGAGCAAACAGGAUUAGAAACCCCGGUAGUCCCAUGA